AUACAUUAAGAGAAAAAAAGAAGAAAAGCUACCAGUCAUGUAGACUGUGCUCUGCCACCCCUCCCCCCGCCGCCACUUCCCAGUAAUGAAAGAAAUAUUUCCUUUGAAGGAUUAAACUAUGGAGUCAGUCUCCGUGAUCUUUUAAUUGAUUAUGUGGUAAAUAGGAGACUGGAAAAAAGGUUGCCAAACCUCCAAAUACUCCUGGACUAGUCACCUAGGAAGACUCAUCCAGAUUUGCCCCAGAACUCCUUGAAGACAUCACAAGCUCUGGAGCCCUGAAGAUCAUAGAUGAAGGAGCAAAGAGGAAGGCCACUGAGGGGCAGAGAAAGCUGGAGCAAGGCAUAACUGGCCCUGCCAAACAGUCUUUAGCACCACACCAUUUGUCGUCCCUCCCCGGAAAUACGCCCACAGAGACAGGAAAUCCCACCCUCAGAAGUCUGAGCAGCAAGUGAGGAGAAGACCAGGGCUUGGGGCUGCGAUCAGAUUGGUGGGUCUGGGCCUGCGCACGGUGGCUGAUUGAGGUUGGUGCCAAUCAGUGUGCCCGGGAAUGACGAAACUUUCCAGACCUGUCCAGAGGCCAGAACCUGUGAUAUCCCUUUCCUGUCCCCCAAUUGGGUGCAUUGAUCCCCUCUUUGGCGAUGCCUAUACAAAUCCGCUGGUUAUUGUCCUUCUGCCCACCCCCACCCCCCCCAGCAUGUGCAAAUGGUCGUCACGUGGCACACUGGCUGUCCUCUCAGUCCUCCUUCCUCUACUACCUCCUGGCCUCCUCAGGAUUCGAGUAGAGCACCUGGCCACCCCCGGUCCUCUCCACCCUCAGGGUUGUUCUUCUCCCCAACCGAACAUCCCGCUGCCCGGGGACCUGCCUUGGGGUGUGGGCAUCAGGAACCCCGCUCCCCUCCUUGCUGUCGCUGCCAAGCAUUCCCCUUUCUCCUCACCCCCAACAGGAUGCCCUCCUUCUCCAGCUCCCUCCCUCUAAUGACUCUACAUCCACAGUAUUCAGCCUCUUGGGGGCUUCCAGUCCAUGGACCCCUGGGCCACCUCGUGGUUCACUGGUUCACGCCCAAUACCAACACUCCCUGCUUGUAUCUGAGCACCAGAGCAUUCAUGACAAAAUUUAAAAUCCUACUGAAUUCUUUCAUCUUAAUCCCAUGGUCAGGAGAGAAUGGCUUCUCACUCCCACUCAUCCUGCCCACACUACUAACUACAUCACUCACUUGCAAUCCUCUUCCAUUCCAGUGCACCUCCCUAAUAAUUCAGGGAGAAGACAGUAGCAAUCAGGUGGGGCUUCUCAGAGCUUCCCAAACCCAACCUACCUGAUUCUGUCCUGGCAUUCUCUGCUGCCCCUCUGCAUACCAGCCCCUCACUGCUGCUCGGGAUCCCAGGCCUCCCACCUUCUCAGAGACUCCGCUCCUGCAAUUGUCUCUCCUCUAUCCUGAACCAUCACCUGCUCUCUCUACAUUGGAGCAUUCCACACCCAAGGGGGGGGGGGAACCCAUCUUCUUCCCACAUGUCAUCUUGCAGCUACUGGCACAUCAUCUGUGCCUUUCAAAGCAAAACUGCUUCAACUUCUCCUGAGACCAUUCAACAGAGAUUCUGUCCUUGUCACUCCACUGCAAGUGUUCUUGUCAAGGCCACCAUUAAUAUCCAUGUUGCCUGACCCCACUCACACCCUAAGCACAUCGUAGGCCACCUCGGAGGAGCCUUUGGCAUUCUGCCCAUUCAUUUCUCCAUCUCUUUCUUUAUACAUAUUUUUUGAGUGGGGGGGAUAGGUCACCACAAUUUCCAUUGUUUUUGACAAUGUGCCAAUUUCUCAUUAUGCUCCUUUUCACCUGGAUAUAGCAUGGGAGGUUGGGUCAAUAAGAAAGAAGAGCCAAAGAAAGAGUGUCCGUUUCAGUCCAGGGCAGCAAGGCCCACAGAGCAAGUGGUGGCAGAGGCAACACAGCUCAGACAAGGGAUGGGUGUCAAGAAGCGAGGAGGAGCACCAAGGAAAGGAGGGUUUCACCUCAUUCACACUUGGGAUGCACAGGUACCCUCUGCCCAAUGGCCGUCCUCUCUCUUUGGGUAGAAGGGCAGCUGGA